rnacentral:lncRNA from 1 species
GCUUGUAUUUGGCUUGCUGAAGCUAUUGAUGUGCAUGUUGUUAACUUCUGGGCACAUUUGUUCAUGUUGAUUUUGAGAAAGAUGAUGAUGCUUGCUGCUGUUUAAACCUGACACUCUGUCCAGAAAACUCCCAUGGUUAUGUUGUUUUGCUGUUAGCUAGGGUUGCUUAAUGAUAAAUGUUCAUGGCCAUGUUCUAUUGUUGAUGCUGUUGUUCAUGUUUUGAUGAUUGAUGUUUG